GCAACAAUAUAAACAAAAUACCUCUAACCUCAGAGUCUCAGACAACUCAUUUUACAAAAAUAAAAAUAUUAAAAUAAUAAUAAGAUUAUGAUUUUUUUUUAAGAACAUGAUAUGGGAACAAUAAUAACAUCAUCAUCAUCAUCAUCAUCAUCAUCAUCAUCAUCAUCAACAAUAAAAAUAACAACACCCCCAACAAUAGUCAAUGAACCCGAUCAAAAAACCCAGCAAACAACAACAACAACAAUCAUCAUCAUCAUCAUCAUCAACAACAACAAAGUGGAUUUAAUUAGAUGUGGGGAACCAAAUUCUGAUUAAAUCGAAUAAAACGAGGGGAGGAGAAGGAGAUUACGUACCUAACUAGGCAAAGGAGGUGGAAUUGGAGAUCUAAGAGGUUUAUGAGAUGGAAUGCAUCGUCGUCACUAAACCAAAAAAGCUUAGUGGUGACUGGUGAGUGGUCGAUUUGAUAGGUCGAUGAGUUCGCCGGAUGAGGUUGGGGUGACGGUGGUGAACGAGUUCGACGACAACGACCGACGAGGUGCCGAGUGGCGGGCUGGCGGGUGGCGGCUGCGUGGUCGUGGUGUAAGUAGUUGGGGACUCAGGGUGACUGGGUGAGGGUCUGAGGGAGAACGAGAGAGAGAGAGGGGAAAAAAUUAGUGAUUGACUUAGGGUGAGGAUCGGACGGAGAACGAGAGAGAGAGAAAGAGGAGAAAAAAUUAGGGAUUUAGGAAUUUGAAUGUUAUCAUGUUAGGGUUAUGUGAAAGUCUGAAAAAGAGAGUGUGUAUGUAAUGGCCCAAAAAUAAUGGCCCAACAACAAUGGCCCAAAUUAAAUUAAACACAUAUUACUCAGCCUAUAUCGCUAUAUAUAAUUAAAAUACAUUAUAUUUAUAAAUAUUUUUAAUAUAUAUAUAUAUAUAUAUAUAUAUUCGAGCUUUUCGAGCUUUUCGAGCGAGCCGACCAAUGCUCAAGCUCGGCUUGAAAUGAAUUUGGAGCUUUUUUUUUUUUGUUCAAGCUCGGCUCAUUUAAUUUCGAGUCGAGUUCGAGCGAGCUGAAUAUCGAGUC
rnacentral:lncRNA from 1 species